rnacentral:rRNA from 1 species
GAUGAACGCUGGCGGCGUGCCUAAUACAUGCAAGUCGAACGCACAGCGAAAGGUGCUUGCACCUUUCAAGUGAGUGGCGAACGGGUGAGUAACACGUGGACAACCUGCCUCAAGGCUGGGGAUAACAUUUGGAAACAGAUGCUAAUACCGAAUAAAACUCAGUGUCGCAUGACACAAAGUUAAAAGGCGCUUUGGCGUCACCUAGAGAUGGAUCCGCGGUGCAUUAGUUAGUUGGUGGGGUAAAGGCCUACCAAGACAAUGAUGCAUAGCCGAGUUGAGAGACUGAUCGGCCACAUUGGGACUGAGACACGGCCCAAACUCCUACGGGAGGCUGCAGUAGGGAAUCUUCCACAAUGGGCGAAAGCCUAAUGGAGCAACGCCGCGUGUGUGAUGAAGGCUUUCGGGUCGUAAAGCACUGUUGUAUGGGAAGAACAGCUAGAAUAGGGAAUGAUUUUAGUUUGACGGUACCAUAUCAGAAAGGGACGGCUAAAUACGUGCCAGCCGCCGCCGUAA